rnacentral:lncRNA from 1 species
CCUGCUUACAGUGCACCUGCAGGAGCCUCUACCCCAGAUCCUGCUCCUGAGGGCAGACUGCUACUGGAGUCUUCAACCCGAAGCUGAGGCACAGACAAGGGUGGCUGUUUGCUGGGGAUGUACAGGACGAAGCCAAGGGUGGAGAGGGAAGAUGAUGGCUGCAGGCUAAGGGCUGUAGACUGGUGCUGCCCCCUAUCCCCAAGAUGACUUUCUGGCCCAGAAUUCAGAAGACCCUGAAGAUUGGAACUAGAACCUGGCUUUCCAGGUCUUUCUGAAGGUCUGCUUGCCAAGAAUUGAAGUUGCUCAAUAGGCAGCAUGGGCAGGAUCCAAGGUUGCUUGAUGUAAACAUUGUUGAGAAUGACUGCACUCCAGGACCAAAAUAACCCACUGGAAAGGCCAUUCAAGCCACAUUACCA